rnacentral:rRNA from 1 species
UACAGAGGUGGCAAGCGUUGUUCGGAAUUAUUGGGCGUAAAGAGCUCGUAGGCGGUCUGUUACGUCUGCUGUGAAAACCCGGGGCUUAACCCUGGGCUUGCAGUGGAUACGGGCAGACUAGAGGCAGGUAGGGGAGAAUGGAAUUCCCGGUGUAGCGGUGAAAUGCGCAGAUAUCAGGAGGAACACCGGUGGCGAAGGCGGGUCUCUGGGCCGAUACUGACGCUGAGGAGCGAAAGCGUGGGGAGCGAACAGG